GACGAACGCUGGCGGCGUGCUUAACACAUGCAAGUCGAACGGAAAGGCCCUGCUUUUGUGGGGUGCUCGAGUGGCGAACGGGUGAGUAACACGUGAGUAACCUGCCCUUGUCUUUGGGAUAACUUCAGGAAACUGGGGCUAAUACCGGAUAGGAGCUCCUGCUGCAUGGUGGGGGUUGGAAAGUUUCGGCGGUUGGGGAUGGGCUCGCGGCUUAUCAGCUUGUUGGUGGGGUAGUGGCUUUCCAAGGCUUUGAAGGGUAGCCGGCCUGAGAGGGUGACCGGCCACAUUGGGACUGAGGUACGGCCCAGAGUGGUACGGGAGGCAGCAGUGGGGAAUAUUGCACAAUGGGCGGAAGCCUGAUGCAGCAGCGCCGCGUGCGGGAUGACGGCCUUCGGGUUGUAAACCGCUUUCGCCUGUGACGAAGCGUGAGUGACGGUAAUGGAUAAAGAAGCACCGGCUAACUACGUG
rnacentral:rRNA from 1 species